GCAUUUAUGCUCUCCCUCAGCAACUCCUUUGUUCCUUUUCACAGCUUUCUCUAUUGCCGCUCUCAAUCAGCCCUGCCAAGUCUAUAAAUACAAAGACAAAUCUGGCAGUGAGUUUGAGCCCCGAGCCUCAUCCAGGAGAUAAACUGUGGCGCUGGAGAGAGCAACAAUCUGCUGCAGGAGCUCGUGCACCAUGGAGACCUUACGAUCCCCGUGCUGCAGUAUCAGACACUAAAGAGAUGAGAAGCCUGAAGAGGCUCUGUGGCUAAACUCACCGUGCUGCAUUGACAGAAGGGAUUAAAUGGAGUCAGGCGACAAGAAAGGUAUCAAACAGGAACUAAGGAUGGCGUCUGCAGUUGGGAGACACACUGUCAUAGAGUCAUUCAUGUGGGCUGAUUUUAAGUCAAGAAACCCCCUCUGCAGAACUGUUCUAAAAAAUAAAGAUGCUGUAAAAAAAAUGCUGUAGAGCUUGUUAUUCCACCUCAUUCAAUUUACCUUCCUUUCAUUUCUACCUUUGAAGCAGUACCCUGCCCCUGUGAUUCAU